rnacentral:rRNA from 1 species
AGUUUGAUUAUGGCUCGAUUGAAGCUGGUGAUGCUUUACACAUGCAAGUCGAACGGCAGUAACGGACUUCGGUCUGGUGGCGGGCGCGAACGGGUGAGUAAUGUAUCGGAACGCCUAGUAGCGGGGAUAACUACGCGAAAGCGGAAGCAUACCGUACAUGCCCUUCGGGGGAAAGCGGGGGACCUUCGGGCUCGCAGUAAUCUUAUUAGAGUGGCCGAUAUCGGAUUAGCUAGUUGGUGGGGUAACGGCUCACCGGUUAUGACGAUCCGUAGCUGGUUUGAGAGACGACCAGCCACACUGGACUGAGACACGGCCCAGACUCACGGAGGCAGCAGUGGGAAUUUGGACAAUGGGAACCCUUGAUCCAGCCAUCCCUGCGUGCGAUGAAGGCCUCGGGCUAGGAAGCACUGCAGGAAGAAACGGCAUCGGAUAAUACCCCGUGCAACUGACGGUACCUGAGAAUAAGCACCGGCUAACCAUGCGCCAGCAGCCGCGGUAAUGCAGGGUGCAAGCGUUAAUCGGAAUUACUGGGCGCAAGCGUGCGCAGGCGGUUCGGAAAGAAAGAUGUGAAAUCCCAGAGCUUAACUUUGGAACUGCAUUUUUAACUACCGAGCUAGAGGUGUCAGAGGGAGGUGGAAUUCUAUGUGUAGCAGUGAAAUGCGUAGAUAUGUGGAGGAACACCGAUGGCGUGAAGGCAGCCUCCGAUAACACCGACGCUCUGUAAUUGCCGGGGAGCAAACAGGAUUAGAUACCCGGUAGUCCACGCCCCAAACGAUGUCAACUAGCUGUUGGGGCCUUCUGGCCUGGUAGCGCAGCUAACGCGUGAAGUUGACCGCCUGGGGAGUACGUGGUCGCAAGAUUAAAAACUCAAAGGAAUUGACGGGGACCUGCGUACGCGGUGGAUGAUGUGGAUUAAUCUUGAUGCAACGCGAAAACUCACUCUACCCUUGACAUGUCUGGAAUCCCGAAGAGAUUUGGGAGUGUCAAAAGAGAACCGGAACACAGGUGCUGCAUGGCUACAAGUCGUCAGCUCGUGUCGUGAGAUGUUGGGUUAAGUCCCCGCAACGAGCGCAACCCUUGUCAUUAGUUGCUACGAAAGGGCACUCUAAUGAGAUCGCUGGUGACAAACCGAGGAAGGUGGGGAUGACGCCGGGUCCCCAUGGCCCCCAUGGGUAGGGCUUCACACGUCAUACACCGGUCGGGACAGAGGGUCGCCAACCCAAGAGGGGAGCCAAUCCCAGAAACCCGAUCGUAGUCCGGAUCGCAGUCUGCAACUCGACUGCGUGAAGUCGGAAUCGCUAGUAAUCGCGGAUCAGCAGCUGGUCGCGGUGAAUAUUGCCCUGGUCUUGUACUACACCGCCCGUCACACUUAAGGAGUGGGUUUACCAGAAGAAGAAGGCCUAACUGUAAGGAGGGCGAUUACUGCAGUAGAUUCAUGACUGGGUGAAGUCGUAACAAGGUA